UUGGAAAUGAAAGCCACUAAAGACUAAUGUCUCUUUUCACUAAAAGUAUAGUCUUUCUUUACAAUUCUCUUUGUGGGUUUUUUUGUUUUUGUUUUCAGUGGUCAAUGAUUGCUCUAUACAGUGAUAUAUUGCCUUUAUAUAUCACUUUUUGCCUUAUGAAGAACACCACAAUAAGACUAGCUAGAUACUUCAAUUUCUUUGCUAAUGGCUUUUUCACGUAGCUUAGUGCCCAAAACCAAUCUAAUAUUUCCCAGCUUCAAGCCAUUUCUGCUCAAGACAGUGAUAGCCAUGAGAUGCAUAAACACAACAAGUAGGCCACCACCAAGGCCACCCAUAAACAUUGAACCACCACAAAACAAUGAUUACAAAGACAAGAAAGAGACUACGACGACAAAGGAGAAGAGUAACACAAACCUCCAAGAAGAUAAUUCAAAGAUCAAAACAAAUUAACUAGGAAUCUUGGUUGUUAAAGAUCAUAAUAAGUCAUUUGUACUUGGUCUAAAUUAGUUAGUCAAGUACAAAAUGCUUUUAUUAUUAGUGAAACUAGUAGCAUGAAAGUGGUCCUUUUUCCUCCCAACAUAUUAAAAGUAGUAUGAUAUUUUAUUUUGUAGUAGAUGCUUGUGUGGUAAAAUUUACAAAUAGCCACUUUUCAGCUCUUGUUGAAAAAUAAUCAAUGUCAUGGAGUUUCAAAUUUCACAAAUAUAACUUCGGGACACUUGCAUGGA